UAUAUAACAAACUCUUCUCCUCCUCUCAAACCCCAUCACCAAAUCCUCAAAUUCCUCAUUUGCCCGUCACACAUUAUAUUCGACCUCUCUAUCUUUUUUUUCCUUAACAUAAUCAGAAUAUUGGUAUAUCCAUAGAUGCAGUGAGCAUACCCAUGUAGAAGCACAAAAUGGGACCCAUUGGUAAUCCAUUGUUACAAGCCUUUUCAGGUGAACUACACGCCAAAAGGGGAAAAAAUGAAAAAGAGAAGAGCAGGAAAUACAUAUGAUGAAAGAAAAAUCGUGGAAGGAAUUUAACUUGCAUUAUGUGUCUUUUUUCUUUACUUUUGUUUAAACUUCUCAAGCUUGGUUAUGCAUGCUUGCCUUGACCAUAUAUGAACCUAGCUGCUCCCUCGGUGUAUACAUGAGUUUCAUUGUCCAGCCUACCAAUAGUCUUUGAAAGCAUGUCAAUAAUAGAAUAUUUGAGGAGAAUAACUAUAAGAAGAUAGGGCUAUAAUUUCGCUUACGAAGUGCGAACAACUUUGCACAAAGUUGAGGUUGAUGAAAAUGUUUUCCGGUCAAGAUAUCUAUUUUCCCCUUUAGUCCUCUGCCUCAUUCUGAUGUCUACUUCUUCAGCACUCAGGUCCAAUGGUGAAUCUGAAGCCUGGUAUAUUCCAAGGACAAAGGGUGCAAGACAUCCACCGAGUUAAUAAUUCAAGACAAAGAAAUCACAACAUGGCUAGAAGAACAAAGUCCCUUGCCGCCUUAAUUGGCCUCUUGGGCAGCCGUUCAAUUCCUACUCGGAAACGGGAAAACAAAGUCUCUUUCCGCCUUAAUUGGCCUCUUGGACAGCCGUUCAAUUCCUACUCGGAAACGGGAAAACAAAGUCCCUUGCCGCCUUCAAUGGCCUCUUGGGCACCCGUUCAAUUCCUACUCGGAAGCAGGAAACAAAAGUCCCUUGCUGCCUUCAAUGGCCUCUUGGGCACCCGUUCAAUUCCUACUCGGAAGCGGGAAAGCAAAAGUCCAUUGCCGCCAAAAGAAGACCGGCCCUCCGAGAUAAAAAUGGUUUAUUAAAAGAAGACUGGUCCUCCGGGAUAGAAAUGGUUUACUAGAAGACCUUUGGGCACCCUUCUUUUUCCUAAUUGGAAGCGGGAAAAUUAUUGAACAUUUGAUUCUGAAAGAUCAUAAUCAACGCACAAGACAUGAUCAUAUAGGGUUCUCACACUUUUCUCAGCUUCAAACUCGGAAGCAAUUACAAACCCAGAGACGACUACAACCAACGAGCAACACGAUAAAGCCCUGGAACCCGAAAGCAUUCAUAAGCUGGGUUUUCCCGGCAUUCGUAUCAUUUUUCACAACACUAAAUACUAUUUGAUAGGCACGAGGGCUUUACUUUUACCCUGGCAUUCCGGCUAUGCGCAAUGCCAAGCUGGGGGGCUUAUGUUAUGGACCAAUUAAAUGGUCUUUACUUUUAUCCCCACUACAUGAAGCACUUCACUCCCCUACUUUCUCUCAACUUCCCUCCACUACAUAUAACCACCCAUUAUGAGCACCACUUCUCUAACUGCUAGUGCACUUUAUCUAUAUAUAGCUCUCUAUAGCAAAGGAUUAAAAGGGGGAAUACAACAUCUUUACAACCUAUUAAUGUUCAUUCCAGAAAACUUCUCAUUCUCUUUCUCUCUCUCUGGUGUUGGUUCAAAACUUGUGUGUUUUUUUAUUUAGAUUUUCCUGCACCCCUUGCCGCAAAGAUUUAUUAUUCACAAAGGACCAAUCGACUACGUGCCACAAUUCAUCAUCUUUACUUCUAGGACCUAAUGAGGAAUUGUGCACUGAUGUUAUGAGUCCAAAGGCAUUACAAAGAAAGAUGGUUAUAUUCCAAGAUUCAUGUCAGAAGGACCCUUCAUUUGUUCAAAUGGACAACAUGCUCAACAAGGAGGCAACAGAUAAAGAAUGGGUUCAAAUGCAUUCGAAUGCAAGGAAAGUUCCUUCUAAAUGGUUUCCCCAUCAAAAGUUGUUGUUUAUUUAGAGCCACGGAGUAUGCUCUAUAUAGGUUUAGUUCUUAGUAGUAAAAAUAAUUGAAAUGGAAAGUAAC